rnacentral:rRNA from 1 species
UUCGCAAUGCCCGAAAGGGUGACGAAGCGACGCCGCGUGGGUGAGGAAGGCCUUCGGGUUGUAAAGCCCUGUCAGGAGUUAAGAAAUGUAAGUGCGCUAAUAUCGCACUUAUUUGACGAAGGCUCCAAAGGAAGCCACGGCUAACUCUGUGCCAGCAGCCGCGGUAAUACAGAGGUGGCAAGCGUUGUUCGGAAUUAUUGGGCGUAAAGAGCACGUAGGUGGAUUUGUAAGUCAGAUGUGAAGGCCUUCUGUUCAACGGGAGAAUUGCAUCUGAAACUACAGACCUUGAGUAUAGGAGGGGAGAAUGGAACUUCUGGUGGAGCGGUAAAAUGCGUAGAUAUCAGAAGGAACGUCGGCGGCGAAAGCGACUCUCUAGCCUAUUACUGACACUGAGUGUGCGAAAGUUAGGGGAGCAAACGGGAUUAGAUACCCCGGUAGUCCUAACCGUAAACGAUGGGCACUAAGUAGAGGGGUUUU